GGAAUAUCGACACGUCGCAGCCCCACCUAAGACUAAUCAGAGAGGCCAGCCCGCCGGUCUAUAUCCUAAGCACAAAGGGUUCAUGGGCCCAGUUCCCCUUCACGCUCCUGCACGUGGCGUGGGCGGCCGACGUCAGUCCUAGCAUCCCUUAAUCACAAGCGCGAUGCAUCUCGGGACCACUCGGGCGCGCGCCGCUACACUGC
rnacentral:lncRNA from 1 species